UACGGAGGGGGCAAGCGUUGUUCGGAAUUACUGGGCGUAAAGCGCGCGUAGGCGGCUUUGCAAGUCGGGUGUGAAAUCCCCAGGCUUAACCUGGGAACUGCAUUCGAGACUGCAUUGCUAGAGUAUGGGAGAGGGAAGUGGAAUUUCCGGUGUAGCGGUGAAAUGCGUAGAUAUCGGAAGGAACAUCAGUGGCGAAAGCGACUUCCUGGACCAAUACUGACGCUCAUGUGCGAAAGCGUGGGGAGCAAACAGG
rnacentral:rRNA from 1 species